rnacentral:rRNA from 1 species
GAUGAACGCUGGCGGCGUGCCUAAUACAUGCGAGUCGAGCGAACAGACGAGGAGCUUGCUCCUCUGACGUUAGCGGCGGACGGGUGAGUAACACGUGGAUAACCUACCUAUAAGACUGGGAUAACUUCGGGAAACCGGAGCUAAUACCGGAUAAUAUAUUGAACCGCAUGGUUCAAUAGUGAAAGACGGUUUUGCUGUCACUUAUAGAUGGAUCCGCGCCGCAUUAGCUAGUUGGUAAGGUAACGGCUUACCAAGGCAACGAUGCGUAGCCGACCUGAGAGGGUGAUCGGCCACACUGGAACUGAGACACGGUCCAGACUCCUACGGGAGGCAGCAGUAGGGAAUCUUCCGCAAUGGGCGAAAGCCUGACGAAGCAACGCCGCGUGAGUGAUGAAGGUCUUCGGAUCGUAAAACUCUGUUAUUAGGGAAGAACAAAUGUGUAAGUAACUAUGCACGUCUUGACGGUACCUAAUCAGAAAGCCACGGCUAACUACGUG